UGACGGGGCCGCACAAGCGGUGGAGUAUGUGGUUUAAUUCGAUGCAACGCGAAGAACCUUACUGGUCUUGACAUCCCGGAGACCCUUAGGAAACUAGGGGGUGCUUCCAUCUGGAAGAAUCUGGAGACAGGUGCUGCAUGGCUGUCGUCAGCUCGUGUCGUGAGAUGUUGGGUUAAGUCCCGCAACGAGCGCAACCCUUGCCUUUAGUUGCCAGCAGUUCGGCUGGGCACUCUAAAGGGACUGCCGGUGUUAAACCGGAGGAAGGUGGGGAUGACGUCAAGUCCUCAUGGCCUUUAUGACCAGGGCUACACACGUACUACAAUGGCCGAUACAAAGGGCAGCGACACUGCGAGGUGAAGCCAAUCCCGUAAAAUCGGUCUCAGUCCGGAUUGGAGUCUGCAACUCGACUCCAUGAAGUUGGAAUCGCUAGUAAUCGUGGAUCAGCAUGCCACGGUGAAUACGUUCCCGGGCCUU
rnacentral:rRNA from 1 species